GUGAGGGUGUCUCUGGAAGAUACUUGAAUCACAGGACUGAAUAAGGAAGAGCUGCCCUCAGCGUGGCCGGGCAACAUCUAAUCGGCUGAAAGCUUGGAUCGAAUGAAAAGGCAGAGGAAAGGUUCUGAAGACCUCAAAUGGACUGAGCCACACUACCAGCAUCCAGCAUCCAUGGUUCUCCAGUCUGCAGAUGGCCUAUUAUGGGACUUUUCAGUCUUCAUAAUUAUAUGAGAGAAAGAAAAUGAAAAGGAUUUGUAAACUAUAAAUCUCUAAACAGAUGGGAGGAAAGGAAUUGAUGAAACAAUAAAUUUAUUGAUGAAACAAUAAAAAUAAACAUAAAGAACCAAAGUUAUUCUCACAAUCACCACUCCUAACUUUUGAUGCUCCUGUCCAGAAAACUGAGCAAAAGAGUGGCUGAAGAAUAGGAAUGAUGAAGAGAAGAAGUAAAAACACCUGUUGAAUAUCACUUUGGGCAAUUCACCUUCAUACCUGACACCUUCACACAUCCUUUACUGGUUCUUCAAAUUUAAUAUUCAACAAAUAAACGCUUGCUGCCACUAU
rnacentral:lncRNA from 1 species